rnacentral:rRNA from 1 species
UACGGGGGGAGCAAGCGUUGUUCGGAUUUACUGGGCGUAAAGGGCGCGUAGGCGGUCAGCACAAGUCAGUUGUGAGAUCUCCGGGCUUAACUCGGAAAGGUCAACUGAUACUGUGCGACUAGAGUGCAGAAGGGGCAACUGGAAUUCUCGGUGUAGCGGUGAAAUGCGUAGAUAUCGAGAGGAACACCGGUGGCGAAGGCGGGUCUCUGGGCCGAUACUGACACUGAGGAGCGAAAGCGUGGGGAGCGAACAGG